rnacentral:lncRNA from 1 species
AAAGUCAUAAUGUAGUUGUUUAAUGUAUCAACAAUAUGAUUCGUAGGUGCUAAGAUUGCCAUAUUCUAAAAAAAGAAGGAUCAUUCAUAUUAUCCAAAAGUGAUGGACAUAUGGUAUCAAAAAUUGAAGCAAUAGGGUCACCUAUAUUCUUAAUUAGCAAGUUCUCUGAUAUUGUAAUUUCAGUUUUGUCAUCAUUAUUUUCUCCAAC